GCACUGAUUUUUCGAACGCGCAUUGCGGCCU
rnacentral:rRNA from 1 species